rnacentral:rRNA from 1 species
CCUACGGGUGGCAGCAGUGAGGAAUAUUGGUCAAUGGCCGCAAGGCUGAACCAGCCAAGUCGCGUGAGGGAUUACGGUCCUAUGGGUUGUAAACCUCUUUUGUCAGGGAGCAAAGGGCGCCACGUGUGGCGCUUUGCGAGUACCUGAAGAAAAAGCAUCCGCUAACUCCGUGCCAGCAGCCGCCGUAAUACCGAGGAUUCGAGCGUUAUCCGGAUUUAUUGGGUUUAAAGGGUGCGCAGGCGGAAUGUGAAGUCAGCGGUAAAAUUUCGGGGCUCAACCCCGUCGGGCCGUUGAAAAUGGCGGUCUUGAGUGAGCGAGAAGUAUGCGGAAUGCGUGGUGUAGCGGUGAAAUGCAUAGAUAUCACGCAGAACUCCGAUUGCGAAGGCAGCAUACCGGCGCUCAACUGACGCUCAUGCACGAAAGCGUGGGUAUCGAACAGGAUUAGAUACCCGUGUAGUC